GACCUGGCUGAUCUGUCCUCCUAAUCGAGCGCACGGAUUCGGUCGGGUCUUUCCUUCUGGGGAGCCCUAUGCCCUUCACUGGGUGUAGUGGGGAACCAGGACUUUUACCUUGAAAAAAUUAGAGUGUUCAAAGCAGGCCUUUGCUCGAAUACAUUAGCAUGGAAUAAUAGAAUAGGACAU
rnacentral:rRNA from 1 species